GCUCCGGGCGCCCCGCGGAGGGGACGGCCGUUGGGGCCGUUGGCGGGAGGGGUCACCUGAUCGCCCGCGCGUCCCCGCCGCGGCCUCGCUCUCUCCCGGCGYAGGUCCCGCGCAGCGCGGUUGAAAGCGUCACGUGGCUGCGCCCGCCGCCAGUCAUAGAGGCAGGCGCGGGAGGGUAGAGCGGCCUCGUGCUGACGAGCUCCCGCGCCGCCAUCUUGGUUGUGGGCAGGAGCUGUAAGGCGGCGCCUCGACCGUUGCUCUGGCGCCGCGCGCGUGAGGUGGCUGCGCCCGAUCCGGCCUCGUCCCGUCACCGCCGCUCCCGGGCCCUCGCCGCAGGGGGGACGGUUGUGGUGCCCCCACGGGAGAGGAACCCGGGGCCGCGGAGGGGCGCUGCCGCUCCCCGCCAGGCGUGCGGUGCGCCUCGGGCGUCUGCCGCCGCCGCCGGAGAAGGCGGAGAGGAACGGGAAGGUGGCAAAAGUUGCUGGCGGUGAGGACAGCCAGGCGGUCAGGGGCACAGAGGUGCUCUGGUGCGCCCUGAGAACUGGGAGUGAAUCAGUGAAACGCCACCGUAAAGACGAAGUGAAGUCUUGCUCCCUAGCAACCCAAGUGGCAUGUUUACUGAGUGAAAACAGGGCAUUUUGGAGCAAGGCUAUCCAGGAACUGCAGAGUUGCUGUUUCUCAGGACAGCGAGUGAGAAUGGAGUCCUGGAGCCCUCUGGUGGAUGUAUGUAGAAAGAAGACAGCUGAAAAUCAACUAACUCAACCAGAAUCCAAAUGUGAGAGCUUUCCCUACUUUAAGAAAUGGAAAAUUGUGGUACACAUCAAUCUGUAUUUAAACAUGCUUCUGAAUUUUCGUAAAAAUUGCCUGAUUUUUGCAGUUGGCAGAACUAAAAUAUGGAGAGGAUUGGGACAUGAUUUAAACACCGUCUUACGGCUAGCUCUGAUUUCUUUUGUUCGGGUGUAAAGGGAGAAAUCUAACUAAACUUUUUCUGUACUGGAAAGAUUCUAAUCCUCACACCCUCUAAUGCCUCUUUGGGCAUUAUCCUCGUUACACAGGUGGAUAAAGUGAGGCUAGU
rnacentral:lncRNA from 1 species